GAUGAACGCUAGCGACAGGCCUAACACAUGCAAGUCGAGGGGCAGCGGGGAGCGAAGCUUGCUUUGCUCCGCCGGCGACCGGCGCACGGGUGAGUAACGCGUAUGCAACCUGCCCGUUUCAGCGGGAUAACCCGGAGAAAUCCGGCCUAAUACCGCAUGUGGCCGAGGGGAGGCAUCUUCUUUCGGCCAAAGGAGGCGACUCCGGAGACGGAUGGGCAUGCGUGACAUUAGCUUGUUGGCGGGGUAACGGCCCACCAAGGCGACGAUGUCUAGGGGUUCUGAGAGGAAGGUCCCCCACACUGGAACUGAGACACGGUCCAG
rnacentral:rRNA from 1 species